rnacentral:rRNA from 1 species
AGACCUCAAUUUGAGCAAGAUUACCCGCUGAACU